rnacentral:rRNA from 1 species
CGGGGACUCAUGGGAGACUGCCGGUGACAAAUCGGUCGAAGGUGGGGAUGACGUCAAGUCAUCAUGCCCACUAUGUCUUGGGCUACAAACGUGCUACAUUGGCCGGUACAAAGGGCUGCAAACCUGCGAGGGUGAGCGAAUCCCAAAAAGCCGGUCCCGGUUCGGAUUGAAGGCUGAAACUCGCCUUCAUGAAGGCGGAGUUGCUAGCAAUCGCGGAUCAGCAACGCCGCGGUGAAUAUGUUCCCGGACCUAGUACACACCGCCCGUCACACCACGAAAGUCGGCAAUACCCGAAGCCGGUGGCCUAACCCGCAAGGGAGGGAGCCGUCGAAGGUAGGGUCGAUGAUUGGGGUGAAGUCGUAACAAGGUAGCCGUAGGGGAACCUGCGGCUGGAUCACCUCCUU